AAAUAAAUAUUAAUUGAAAAAAUUCAAACUUAAUUUCGACUUAAGCUUAGGGACUUCCCAAUAUUUA
rnacentral:tRNA from 1 species